UACGUAGGGUGCAAGCGUUGUCCGGAAUUAUUGGGCGUAAAGAGCUCGUAGGCGGUCUGUCGCGUCGGCUGUGAAAACCCGGAGCUCAACUCCGGGCCUGCAGUCGAUACGGGCAAACUGGAGUACUGCAGGGGAGACUGGAAUUCCUGGUGUAGCGGUGAAAUGACGCAGAUAUCAGGAGGAACACCGGUGGCGAAGGCGGGUCUCUGGGCAGUAACUGACGCUGGAGGAGCGAAAGCGUGGGGAGCGAACAGG
rnacentral:rRNA from 1 species